CUCUGGCUGCUUGUCCAGAGAGAAGAACCACAGACAGGAAGGCAGAGGCAGAGCUGAGAGCAAGGAUGGAAGACCCGGGGCUGAGUUACAGAGGCUGAGGGGCACAGAGGUCCGGAGCAGGGAUGAGACUCUGGGCUGAGGUCCACAUUCUCAGUGGAGGCUCAGAGGACCAUGUGUCUAGCCUGAACACAACCUGGUGGAAUCUGCUCUACUAGGCUGUGCACAUGCAUCAUGCUGAUAAGGAGCUCUUUUUCACACUUGGUCACCUGAAAAUACUGGCCUACCACAAAGAUUCUACCACAGCGCUUAGUGUCAUGGGAGACUCCACAUUGACUUCCAGCCUAGUCUAGUGGGAACCAGGGGAAGAAGCUUGGAUCAGAAAACAAUGCCUCCUGUGUUGAGAAUACUGCCCAUGGAACCUCCAAACAAUUCAGGCUUUUGCCAAGAGGACAGGUUGCUUUCCACAAACUAACAACAAGAUUUUAGUCGGGAAGCACUGGCACUAAGAGUUGAAACCACACAACAGAAGCUACAGUCUGAGCCCCAGCUCUUAACAAUGGCUGUGACAGAAGACGCCAGGGAAGUAUAUCCAAUGGGAGUCACAAAACACGGUAUAAACCUCCCCAACAAUCAUAAUUUGCUUACAAGACAAAGCUAAGGAUUAAAGUCCAGAUUCCUUCA